UGACUGCUUCUUAAAGGGUAACUUCGGUAUUUUUCAACAUGGACCCUAUUUUCCCCUUGUUUUUGUGUCUAAGUGACUAAUGGGAACAACUAUCUUUAAAAUUGGUCUAGUACUGAGCAA